CAGUGGGAUGGUUGCGCAAACAAUUUAUUAUAAUAAAUUUUUUCUUUUAAUAUCAUCUUGCGCGAGGCCACAAUAGAAUCGUUGAUGAGCGGUUUCUUUAAAAUUUUCCGAUUGGAAAAAAAGGGCGCCUCCCUCACUUCAAGCAUAACCUCGAAGAAGUCUCCUUUCCUAUCUUUUAUCUGAUCAUUUUGAGACAUCCGACACCCUUCUUCUUCGCUCCUCUGCUCUCUCUCCGUUUCGGUACACUCCCCUGCAAAUUCCGUCCUCUGCAGACAGAAAACCUCAAUUUCUUCGCAGCAGUACUUUCAGGAAAUGUUGGUUCAGAGGAGAGUGAUGACGUGGGGGUCGGUGGCCAAGCCUCUCCAAACACUUGUCGCCGACGCGUCGCUUUUCACGUUCACGACUCUGAUCGUUCUCAAGCUCCACCGUUCCGUCCGCUAUCCUUGGUGAAUGAUCAGAGAAACGGACCAUACGGCCCACUUCCAACAACAUUGAUAUUGUCUCCAACUUGGUAAUUACCACCUGCACAAUCCGUCAGGUGUGAGGUUUUAUCACAAAAUGCCUCAGUAUUAGUUGGAAUGAGAUUAUGGUAUUUGAACUCUUCUUUUGUCAUUGAUACGGUCGAUGUGAUACAUUUCAACACGUCCACUCACCUGAGACCCAAUUAGCAUGUUACACGUGGGAGAUCCACAUAUUGACAACCAUGUGGAGCUAAGAGGCCUCACCCUACACGCGGGGCCAAGGGACCCACCAUGGCUAAGGGGACCCACCAAUCACGUGGUAGUACGGAUCAUAUUUUCCCCUCUCUGGCUGUUCCAUGUAGUUGUAGCACGAGGCAGAUUUUCGUUACCUGCUCCAAACCUGCCUAAUGAUCGCAAUUGGGCACCUUUUCAUGCUGUCAUGGCGACACCGUUGCUUGUCGCAGUUGAACUAACGCUUUGUAUAUACCUUCAGCGCAGAUAUGUUGUGAGCUUGAAGAUUGUCUUUGCACCCUUGUUGGCAUUUGAACUAGCAAUUCUAUUGAUAAUGUCAGGUAUCUCUAUUUCUUCCAAUCAUAUUUCCAAACUUCCUUAAUGUUUUUUUCUUUAGGAGGGUUCUAAGUUCCCAGAGCUCGACAUGUUCAAGGACGUUUAUGUUCGACCUAGCGAUGAGAAUAGCUCCAUGCUGCUAUGGUGGAAAAACACACUGCUGUUCUCCAAUAAGAAGCAACAUUACAGCUUUCCUCGGAGACCCCGAUCAAGGAUGCAGGUCUUCAGAUCUUGAUUGAGGUCCAGGAUCAGAAGUUCGGUCGUCGUCAUGGCAAGGUUGUUUGGUGUAUGGGGAAGGCGCGGGUUCAUGAGACGGGUGCCUUCUCUUCCAAAUCGACCACAGGACAUGUCAACGCUCUGAAAGAGGAAGUGACAACCCUAAAAGGUCAGCUUACGGUCCAAGGCGAGUAGAUGAGCAUGAUUGUACGAGCCUUACAGAUGUCCAGCCUCCAAAUCCCGAUGCCAGCACCUGAUCUUGCUCCACCUUCGACCUCCCAACCACUUCGCUCAACUGAUACCCAGUAGCCUGAUGUAUCAAACCUAGAAGACUACUUGUAGUUUUUUUUUGUUUGGACAUCUUGUAUGUACGUUUUCAUAUAUUUUAUAAUUAAAUACUUUUUCUUGGUUUAUUAA